rnacentral:rRNA from 1 species
AACGAACGCUGGCGGCAUGCCUAACACAUGCAAGUCGAACGAGACCUUCGGGUCUAGUGGCGCACGGGUGCGUAACGCGUGGGAACCUGCCCUUAGGUUCGGAAUAACUCCCCGAAGGGGGUGCUAAUACCGGAUAAUGUCUUCGGACCAAAGAUUUAUCGCCUUUGGAUGGGCCCGCGUGGGUUUAGCUAGUUGGUAGGGUAAAAGCCUACCAAGGCGACGAUCCAUAGCUGGUCGGAGAGGAUGAUCAGCCACACUGGGACUGAGACACGGCCCAGACUCCUACGGGAGGCAGCAGUGGGGAAUAUUGGACAAUGGGCGAAAGCCUGAUCCAGCAAUGCCGCGUGAGUGAUGAAGGCCUUAGGGUUGUAAAGCUCUUUUACCCGGGAUGAUAAUGACAGUACCGGGAGAAUAAGCUCCGGCUAACUCCGUG